UAUCUUUUUAAUUAAUCCUUUUUUCCUCCCAAACCCAAAGGAUGGUCUAGACUCAAGACGCGGAUUUGGUGGGGAUGUUAAAGGCUGUUUCAGUCUGUUUUCUCUGACUUGUGAGGAAGCCCACAGAAGAAAAAUAGAGACGGAGAGGAAAAAGAGAAAUAAGGAAAAGAAAGCGAAAGAAGGGAGAGAGAGAGAGAGAUUUUUCAUUUUUCUAAUAAAGAGUAGAAGGAUUACUAUCUAUCUGACCUUUUCAGGUAGUGGGUUUUCUGGUUUUCGAACACUGAUUUUGUUGCUUGCUCUUAAUUCUCUCAUCAGGUCCGGCUGAGCUCUCUGCUUCCCUUCUGGCCCUUGUUUCAAGUGGAAGAGAAUAGAAGACAGAAGCUUCCGGGGUUUGUUUCCUGAUCUUUGGUUUGAGUUGUAUCUUUUUUGCAUCUGUGCUUCUGAUUUUAAGAUAAAAGUUGUUCCUUUUCUCACACUUACUUGGGUUUUUGGGAAAGAAGGGAAAUAUAUCAUCUUUCGGAAAGUUGAAAAGCCGAGGGGAUUUCUUGCUUUUGUGGGUUGAUUCAGAUUUCGGGUUUCUGUCUGAUCUCGGACUGGAAUGGAGUUUUGCCUCAGGAAUUUCGUUUUAAUAGUUGGUUUGAUUGGUCUUUCCAGAUGAGAAGGGGAAGCUGGCCCCCAUAUCUGGGAAAACUGAAGAAUAGGGAAAGAGCAGUAGUAUUCAGAUGGAAAAGUAGAGAUGGGAAUUUUGGGUGGAUUCACUGGCUUGAGAUGGUUCAUGAAUCUCGGUUUUUAUUUUUCUGAGAGAUAACAGGGGUUUUCUGUAUUGUUGAUUGGUGUUUCCUGCUUUGAAGGAGCUUUAGGAAACCACUCACCUAGCAGGUUUCUGGGCUCAAGAGGAGCUGGUUGUUUAUUAAGUCAAUUAUGAUCAAACAGAUACUUGGUAGGCUCCCUCGGAAGCCAUCUAAGUCGGCUGAAAAUCGUGAAUUAGGUGGAUCUUCGGGUCCUUCUUCAAAUUCUUCUGCUAGUUCAAGAAGCAAUGAUCUAGUAAAUAGCCGGCCUGUUAACCCAAACAGUGCAUCUCUUCCAGCCCCUGAUUUUUGUGCUUCAAAUUCUGGGGUCAAUCAUGGGAAUAAGCUUUCACAAGUUGUAAACUCAAAGCUUAAUGGAAAUUCUGCAACUUCUUCCUAUGAGGCAUUGCCUAGUUUUAGGGAUGUCCCCAACUCCGAGAAGCAGAACUUGUUUAUCAGAAAGCUGAACUUAUGUUGUGUCGUGUUUGACUUCACUGACCCAACAAAGAGCCUGAAAGAAAAGGAAAUCAAGCGGCAGACACUUCUAGAACUCGUGGAUUAUGUUACUGCUGCAAAUGGGAAGUUUACAGAGAUAGUCAUGCAAGAAAUAAUAAAAAUGGUAUCAGCGAAUUUAUUUAGAGCAUUCACAUCCCCUCAACGUGAGAACAAGGUUCCAGAGGCUUUUGAUUUGGAAGAGGAGGAACCUUUAAUGGACCCUGCGUGGCCACACCUGCAAGUUGUGUAUGAAUUCCUUCUUAGGUUUGUUGCAUCACCUGAGACAGAUGCAAAGUUAGCCAAGAGGUAUAUCGAUCACUCAUUUGUUCUCAGGUUGCUAGAUCUCUUUGAGUCCGAGGAUCCUAGAGAGAGGGAGUAUUUGAAAACAAUUCUUCACCGCAUAUAUGGAAAAUUUAUGGUACACCGCCCAUUCAUCCGGAAAGCUAUCAAUAACAUCUUCUACCGUUUUAUUUUUGAAACAGAAAAGCAUAAUGGGAUUGCAGAGUUGUUAGAGAUUUUGGGCAGUAUAAUCAACGGGUUUGCCCUACCGCUGAAGGAAGAACACAAACUAUUUCUCGUUCGAGCCCUGAUUCCUCUUCACAAACCAAAAUGCAUACCCAUGUACCAUCAGCAGCUGUCUUAUUGCAUUACACAAUUUGUAGAAAAAGACUGUAAGCUUGCCGAUACUGUUAUAAGGGGUCUAUUGAAGUAUUGGCCAAUCACUAAUAGUUCAAAAGAGGUCAUGUUCUUAGGUGAGCUGGAGGAGGUUUUGGAAGCGACCCAACCUCCCGAGUUCCAGCGCUGUAUGGUCCCGUUGUUUCGCCAGAUCGCUCAUUGUUUGAGCAGUUCACACUUUCAGGUGGCAGAAAGGGCUUUGUUCUUAUGGAACAAUGAUCAUAUCGAGGAUUUAAUCAAACAAAACUGCAAAGUAAUACUGCCCAUCAUCUUCCCUGCCUUGGAGAAAAAUGCAAGAAGCCACUGGAAUCAAGCAGUUCAGAGCUUGACAGUGAAUGUACGCAAGAUCUUCUCUGAUCUUGAUCCUGAUCUAUUUGAGGAGUGCUUGGUCAAGUUUCAGGAGGAUGAAGCAAACGAGAAGGAGAUUAAAGCUAAACGGGACGCCACCUGGAAGCGCUUAGAAGAGAUUGCUUCGUCAAAAGCUGCAAGUAACGAAGCCGUUCUUGUUCCUCGAGUAUUAUCCCCCUAUACAUCUGUGGGCUAGGGGGAUUAAAGAGAUCUGUUGGUAGUUCCUUUCAACGAUCUCAAUUUUAUGAUGGGUGUCAUGAAACUGUGACAAGCUUAGAAGGUGGAAUGCUGUUAUUCAUCCUCUUAGUUUCUCACCCCAAGCUACUUGUGAUUGUUUUGGGUUGUCAGGUCCCAGACGGUCAACACCAACACUGUACAGGGAAUAAGACUGUAUAUAUGGGGGACAAAGCAUAUGGGGUUUACAGGCAACUGCACUUUUCAGCCAUAGAGGAAGAUGUUUAGUACUUCUAGCUUUUCUUAGUUGAUGUUCUAGAGGGUCACAUAAAGGAGCUACAGCUCAAGAGUGACGGCUCCUCUCUUCCUCCAAUCGAUGAAGGCUGGCAGUGGUUCCCUAACAUUCUCAUAACUGAAGUGUUGCUUCAUGGACUGAUGUUGCAGAAGCAUUUGCCGAGCAGGUGUAGUGUACCUUGCUCGAAAUUCUUCAUUACUCAAAUCUGCAAAUUUAUUGAGACCCAGAGUUAUCACCAGGAGAUGCAGAGGAGGUAGAUGGGAAUGAAAGUAGACACAACACAGCAAAGAAAAAGAAUACAGUGGCCAUGAGAAAUGGUGAUGGCCUGCAAUGAGACGGGCUGUUCUUAUUUGGUGGGGUGGUGGGUAGGGACAGAAUUUUGGUUGCUUUGCUUGGGAUAGGAGUGUCUUGCGUGUGAAGCAAAAGUGAGAGGGAGAGAUGGAUACUUAGUACAUGCUCAAGGGUUGGCGUUGAAAUCUCAUGUGAAGUUCAAGUUGAGUGAUGGAACUACAAAGGCUCACCAGACUUUAAGCUGAAGCUGAGCCAAGUAGCCAACCACCAUGACCACGAGGAGUUGUAAAGCAGUGGGAUCAUGGUUUGAGGAAUCGGACGAUUUGUUGAAUCUGACAGAAUCGGCUGGAUCUGAUUCUGGUUCUGCUCGAUUUGAAUUGGCCAAUUUGGUUCGAUUUUGACUGAAUUGGAAUUGGAAUCAGUAGAGAGCGAUAAUUUUGCUGUUACCACUUACUUGAACCUUGAAUGGGAUCUACCCUAGGCAGUUGAGACUUAAGGGUGUCAAUUUAAAAUCGAAAAUGACCGUUUAAAACCGCUUUUGGUUUGAAAA